ensembl:lncRNA
AUAACGUCUAACCAAACCCGGAACCGGCUUUCAGUAAUUCCACGUUGGAAAAGUUAUUCACUUCAAAACGAACUUGAACAGCGUUUUGAGAACACGGGGUGUAGCCUACUUCAGCAAUCUAACAUGCACGCACGUUAUGUAUCUGGUCUCAACUUGAACUGCUUGAAUUGAAUGAAGACCCCCGCUGGUUUGAGUUUGUUGCGUCACCAAAACAUUGACUGAGUUAAAGGUCCUGUAGAUCCUUGGCCACGCCCACCUCACCACCCUGACGUCAUCACAUGACAUCAAUAGCAUGGAAUCGUAUCUCCCAUGAUGCAAGAGGGCAUUCAUCAGACUGGAUGGGAUGGCGCUCAGAUCAGAUAACGGUGGGAGGAUCCCCGCCAAUCGAAUAGACGCUCAUGGCGGCAGCCUGCGGGGUAUCUGACUGCUUGAUCAAAUGACGGAUGGCUGGCGAUGGCCAAUCAGAGGUCAGCCAGGAUUUGCCAGGGUUAUUUGACCCCUCCUGACCCCGGUGGGGGGCCCUCAGAGCGACGAGGGGCCCUCAGAGCAGGCGGCGCGGCGGGGUGGGGCGCUAGGUGUUGCACAUGAGAGGGAGGGGUAGCGUGUCUUUGUUUGUCUUGCCAGCCUGGAUGGCUCCCCUGGGUGACUGAUGGCCCCCAGGUCCUAUAGUGGGGGCCCCUGGACUCCAGAUGAAUCAAAUCCUCAGCCGUUCAGAGCCAAGUGGCCUUCCUCCUAAUCGUAGACAAACAAACAGAUAAACAAAGAUCUACCUGCAUCUGGACUGCUGCUUAUCUCUGCCUGUGAGGGUCGUGACCCCUGUUUCAGAGGUGUUUCCCCAGCAGUAAAUACCCAGAUGAGAUCCCAUAUCCUUCUUCCUGUGUCCCCCUCCGCCCUCGCUACUGGACCAUAACAACUCCAGUUAAGUGCUUAUCUGUUUUAUACACAAUUGUAUCCUUGUUUAAUGGAUGGAGGCUUAGUGCAGUCAGUCUUAAAGGCAGUACAGCUUACACACGUCCGGUGUUAAAAGGCCAUUCUGUUGCUAUCACUCCCUAGAAUCGUGUUGAACGAAACCUCUCUGGCAGUACAUCAUCA